UCACAGAUUCCACCAACGGCACAAGCGCCCUUUGCUCAGAUGGACAGGGACGCUGGACACGUGCCCCUCAGAAGGACACAGCGCAGCCUUGAUCUCACCGUGGACCUACACCUCCCGGCCGCACGGCCCUGCUGACCUUAGUGCCUCCUUACGGGGGAUCCAGCCCACGCGCCCCGGGAGAGAAGCCAGAGGAAGGAAGCUUCUGAGGCCGAGCUCCUCCUGCGAGGUGAACAUUAUGCCGCUGACGUGCCGGAGAAGCCAAAAACGCAUGCGAUUAACUCACAGUGGAUUGAUAUUUUCCAUUUUAAAUUUUGUCUUAAAAAGUUUCAGAAGUGAAUGUAAAGUCUCAUAAUUGAAAAAUAUGAAAAUAUGGAG
rnacentral:lncRNA from 1 species